rnacentral:tRNA from 1 species
GAUUAAAUGGCUGAAGUUUAGGCAAUAAAUUGUAAAUUUAUUUAUGAGAGUUAUCUCUUUAAUCA